rnacentral:rRNA from 1 species
GACGAACGCUGGCGGCGCGCUUAACACAUGCAAGUCGAGCGAGAACCAGGGCUUCGGCCCUGGGGACAGCGGCGAACGGGUGAGUAACACGUGGGUCAUCUGCCCUCGGCACCGGAAUAGCCCGGGGAAACCCGGAUUAAUGCCGGAUGGCCCGCCCGCUCUUCGGGGCGGUCGGAAAAGGUAGCUUCGGCCUCCGGCCGAGGAUGAGCCCGCGGCGGAUUAGCUAGUCGGUGGGGUAAUGGCCCACCGAGGCGACGAUCCGUAGCUGGUCUGAGAGGACGAUCAGCCACACUGGGACUGAGACACGGCCCAGACUCCUACGGGAGGCAGCAGUGGGGAAUCUUGCGCAAUGGGCGAAAGCCUGACGCAGCGACGCCGCGUGAGGGAAGAAGGCUUUCGGGUUGUAAACCUCUUUCAGGAGGGACGAAGCUACUCGGGUGAAUAGCCCAGAGGGUGACGGUACCUCCAGAAGAAGCCCCGGCUAACUACGUGCCAGCCGCCGCAGUAA